CAGAAACUGUACGCAGAACCUUUCUUGCAUUACAGCCUUAAAUGAAACUACAUUAAACAUGAUUUAUCCCACCUUCAUUUGCACAUGGUAUUCAGUAAUAUCCCACAUUUCUGAGAAUUUAUUAAAAAUGAAAUUCUAUAAUAACUGAGUUGUGUAAGUGUGGACAUUUUUCUCCAUCCAUUUUCCCCUCUGUCCCGACGAGAGCCCUAGUGCGUUCUCAAUGAGAAACGCCCCCAUAACAGGAUGCUUCGCUGUAGGGCUGGUGUUCUGUGUUGAUGUGCUGAUGUGUGUUUUGGACAGAAUUUCUAUUUUGGUUUCAUUAGAUCGCAAAACAUUUCAUGACAUUGCUUCAGAGUUCAGUGUGUUUUUGCAUAUGUCAAAGGAGACAUAUGCAAAAGGCUUUUUUGAGUAGGGCCUUUCUUCUUGCCACCCUGUCAUAUAGGCCAGUAUUGUGGAGAGCUUGGGAUAUUGUUGUCACAUGCACACAUUGACCAGUCUUUGCCAUAACGGACUGCAGCUGCAGCUCAUUAAAAGAUGCCAUUGGCCUCUUGGUGACCUCUCUGAUUAGUCUCCUCUGUGCUCGUUCAUCCUGUUUGCAGGGACGGCCUGAUCUAUGCAAGAUCUCAGUGGUGAUUCACUGUGUUAUUUGAGUCUUUUGAUAUCUCGUUAUGCUCAUCUCCUGAUUUGUGUCUGUCUGCAGUUUUACCUCUGAGUCCGUUAGAAUGCUCUUUGUUGUUCAUGGUUUGUUCUUUGCUGUGUAAUGCACUACCCUGCUGAGGAAGCCUACAGAAACAGAUUGUUUCAUUGUGUGCUAAUCAGAAUUACUAUAAAUGGACACAGGUAGGGGCCAGUCAGCUUGGUGUGUGAUGUAGGAGUUUGGUUAUGCGUGAGCUAAUGCACCAUUACAAUCAUUAGGGUGUGUCUGUUUUAUGCAACCCAGCUGUCAUAGAUUUUUAAAAAUGAGUUCUCAGGUAUUUUGAGAAUUGUUUUCACUUGGAUAUUGUGGAAUACCAUGUGUCAAUACAUGUAAAAAAUCAGAUUUGAUGUGCUUUUUAUUUAAGGCUGUAAUGCAGUAAGAGGGAACACUGUGGAAGGGUUGUAUACACGUUCUAUAGCCAGGUGACUGCAGGUGAAAGAGUAUGACGUGUGCAUGUUGCGGAAGAUGAGGACAGGGCCUUUAUGUAUGUUGGUAUCUGGAUGUGAGUUAUUUAACUCAGUUGGAAGGCUCACCACCUUAGAUGUGCGGAGGAGAAUAUGUACAUGUGAGAUAUUUGAAGAAACUGACACACCCGCAUGGCUGUAUCUGUUAUCUGUUCUCCUGCGCAGGUCUAAGGUGAUGGGCCUGCUAACUGUCAUUUUAGUAAUUCACACCCAGAUUCCAACAUACAUAAAUUACCUGUCCUCAUCUUUAACUACAUGCACAUUUCAUACACUUUCCCAUGUAUUCACCACAUACAGUGGCUAUAGUUAAUGUCUCUGCCAGUCUUAUAUACUUCUGCCUUUAUACAGUAAACUGAGUUUAGCUUCAAUUGUGGGUAAUGGGAAAAAUCUGCAUGUAUUCGUCAGCCUUUCAAAAAUAGACUUUAGUGUUAUACUUCCUCUGCUGUAAUUCAAUUUUUUGUCCAGCAGAGGGAGACAUAUUCUUCACCUGUAGCACCCUGUACUAAUGCAGUCCUGUCAACCCUCUUUUAACAAAGAUUGUUAAUGCCUCUGUUUUCAUUUGCAUAAUGUAUGUUCAUAGGUAACAUAUUUUGAUUAUAUUUUGUUUAUUUUAAACAUUCCCCCCUCUUUUUUUCUCUCCAGCUUGUCUGCAGAAGCAGGAAGUCCCCAGAUGGAGGCGCUGUCACUACGGACAAAAGCUGCGCAAACUGAAGGGACGAACGGGGAUUCGAACCCUGAAGCUCAGCGUUCCAAGCUUUGGACAAUACCUUUACGCCACCGUCAUGUUAGCGGUUGCGCGGCUGCAGAAAUGGCCUGAUGAUGAGACAACCCAAGUAUAAGCGAAACAAAGACGAAGGGGGGUUCGAACCCCCAACCUCUGCGUCCGUAGGCAAAGACAAUACCGCUGCGCCACCUUCUCUUCUGUGAAUCGGCCGGCUUUUCUGUGGGUAGAAGAAGAUGACACAACAGAAAUAUUUACAAAAAAAUCUCAGAAAUUUUGCCUUCAUCUACUAACUUCGGACCUGAAGGUGAUGAACCUUGUUACCUAUGUCUUACAGCUGGUUCUUAGAGCCACAGCAGAGGGGGGAUUGAACUUACUAUCUUGGGAUUCGUGGAACAGGGUACUCUGUCUUGCACCACGAAGCCCUUCAAGAAUUCCUGGGUGUUCAUUAGUGAACUUAUUCACAGACCGAUAAGAAUUAAACAGGAAGAGCUCAGCUUUGAAUAGCAGAGAUCCAGAUUAGGUGCUCUCCUAAAAUGAACUCUACGAAACUGUGGAAAAUUAUAAACUGACACCCUAACAUAUUUUGGCUUCUUUAAAUAAAGCUGUUGAUUCAUUGAAGGAAUUCCUUUGCAUUUGUGAUUUAUAAUUAGAAUAACAGGUGACUGACCAGUCCCGUUCAAACAGAUGACCUAAUUAAAGGUGUAAUGUUGUUGCAUCUUAUAGGUGUGCAUGAAAGUGAUUAGUUGGUUAUAUUUUUUAUGCCUUUGAAUGUUUUCUUUCACAAGGAUGAAAAAUGAGAUUUAAUCUAGUCAGUAAUGUACUAUGGAGAACACUCAUAUUCUGUUUUUAUAAACUGCAGUGGAUAUGUAUUGGGGACAGGGCUUGUAAAUGCAUUUUAUUUUCUUUUUAAUAAUGAAAUAAAAUGAAUUGUGUUUUGUAAUUUUAUACUGCAAUUACAUUUCAUUCUUGAAUGUUGUGCUGCCAUUGCUGAAUAAAAAUAAUGCACAAUAAGAACAGUGA